GAUGAACGCUGGCGGCGUGCCUAAUACAUGCAAGUCGAGCGAACAGAUGAGGAGCUUGCUCCUCUGACGUUAGCGGCGGACGGGUGAGUAACACGUGGAUAACCUACCUAUAAGACUGGGAUAACUUCGGGAAACCGGAGCUUAUACCGGAUAAUAUAUUGAACCGCAUGGUUCAAUAGUGAAAGACGGUUUUGCUGUCACUUAUAGAUGGAUCCGCGCCGCAUUAGCUAGUUGGUAAGGUAACGGCUUACCAAGGCAACGAUGCGUAGCCGACCUGAGAGGCUGGUCGGCCACACUGGAACUGAGACGCGGUCCAGACUCCUACGGGAGGCAGCAGUAGGGAAUCUUCCGCAGUGGGCGAGAGCCUGACGGAACAACGCCGCGUGAGUGAUGGAGGUCUUCGGAUCGUAAAACUCUGUUAUUAGGGAAGAACAAAUGUGUAAGUAACUAUGCACGUCUUGACGGUACCUAAUCAGAAAGCCACGGCUAACUACGUG
rnacentral:rRNA from 1 species